rnacentral:rRNA from 1 species
AAGUGGAUUAGCGGCGGACGGGUGAGUAACACGUGAGUAACCUGCCUUAGACAUUGGGAUAGCCUCGGGAAACCGGGAUUAAUACCAAAUAAAAUCAUAAUGACACAUGUCAUAACGAUCAAAACUCCGGUGGUCUAGGAUGGACUCGCGUCCCAUUAGCUAGUUGGUAGAGUAAAAGCCUACCAAGGCGACGAUGGGUAGCCGGCCUGAGAGGGUGAACGGCCACAUUGGAACUGAGAAACGGUCCAA